GGGGGCGUACUGGUUUCGACUUGGUAGUCGAGGUUCAGGUGGCAUGCAGAGGACGUCGGUUGGCCUCUUUAAUCAUUCCGGCACGCAGAUAACUGCAAAAGAAAACGAUGAAGCAGAAAUGCUUCUCGCCGCUUAAUACCUAACAGUAGUAAGUAGCCGAUCUCCUUAGGUUGGACCAAGGAUUUAAGAUGAGAUCGUUAUAAUCUUGGUACGGACACCACAGUUUCAUCCUGUGGGUGGUGUUCAAGAUGCACAGGGUCGCUUUUUUUUGUUUUAGGUUGCUCAGGUUCCGCCGGCAAAAAUAAAGCGUAAAAUUACAACUUGAGCUAAGCAUGUAGUCAUUUGGGGUGAAGCUAUUGAGCACGAGAGUUCGAUUCUCUCCGCCUCCAA
rnacentral:tmRNA from 1 species